GUAGUUAGCCGGGGCUUUCUAAUGGGGUACCGUCACUUCCUUCGUCCCCCACAACAGAGGUUUACAAUCCGAAAACCUUCUUCCCUCACGCGGCGUUGCUGGGUCAGGCUUUCGCCCAUUGCCCAAUAUUCCCCACUGCUGCCUCCCGUAGGAGUCUGGACCGUGUCUCAGUUCCAGUGUGGCCGUUCAGCCUCUCAGCUCGGCUACCCAUCGUCGGCUUGGUGGGCUGUUAUCUCACCAACUAGCUAAUGGGACGCGAGCUCCUCUUGUACCGAAUUUCUUUUACCCCUGUAGGAUGCCCUACUGUGGUCUUAUACCGUAUUAGCACAAAUUUCUCUGUGUUAUCCCGUUGUACAAGGCAGAUUGCUCACGCGUUACUCACCCGUCCGCCACUAAGUGUAUUGCUACACUCCGUUCGACUUGCAUGUAUGAAGCACGCCGCCAGCGUUCGUCCUGAGCCAUAAUCAAACUCUGA
rnacentral:rRNA from 1 species